CAAACAAACAAACAAACAAACAAAAAACCCAAAUUAACCACCCAAACAAACAAAUCUGACUGCCGCAUAUGUAAAUAUUCACAGUAAAAUUCUCCCAUUUCUUUGCAGUAUGUUUGAAAUUCUUCAUCAUAAGAUGUUUUCAUCAUAAGAGCUGAAUUAGCAUUCUUUUGCACAUAAGGAGUGCUGACAGUCACUUUCAACAACAAUUUGCUAACCCCUUUCAGUAUGGUCAAGUUUGAAAACAAGGCCUGGGCCCUUUGAGUUUUAAGAAACACAACAUUGACUCAGAGCUCCCCCUGGCAUCUAUGUCCCUGAAACAAUGGAGACCCCAUAUAACAAGCUUGAUGAAGUUAGUCAUCAAGCUAACAAGAUUCAUGGCUUAUCCUGCAGAUUUGGCAAAUACACACCACUGUAACAAUGCCGAAUACUAAACUCACCUUCGGGGUCUUAGAUACCAAAGAUCCACAUCUCUUUUCUCUCUACCUCUGGCUCUAACCCAGGCCCCCAAAGAACCUUGUCCAUAUCCUCAGCCAAUCACCUACAGCCUCUACUUAUGAAUGUGCAGGUCAGUUACACGGAUCUUACCCCAGAGAACAACACGUCCAUAUAGCUAUGGAAAAGACCUUCCAGUCAUCUUAGAACCCUCAGAUCUGAGAACACAGUCUGGCAGAUAAGGUAUGGUCCAGUGAGGUAAGGUCAGGCACAGUGAGGUCCAGUGAGGUGAGGUCAGACACAGUGUGAUCCAGUGAGGUAAGGUCAGCACAGUGAGGUCCAAUGAGAUAAGCUGAACCACAUACCUAAGUUGGCCACUGCACCUCAGCUCCACAGACUAGAUCAUGUGAGGAAGAGCACAAGUGCAGACAUGUCCAGUCAAAGCUCUGUAAACCUGACCAAUACAGGGGCCUCUCUCACUUGGGUCCAAGGGUCACACUGUACACAAACUGGCAAUCACAGUAGUAAACAAGUCACAGGGUAGGGAGACACCAUUUUAAUCGAGAUAAAAAUUAAAUACAGAAUAGUUAAAUCCUCCAUUCAACCAAGUCAUUAAAGGCCCAACAUUCUAGAACAAGGUACAGAGCAUUGACUAUGACAAAGAAAAUUAACAGAAGCCACAUUCUAGAGAAGAGAGACAAAAUUUAAAAACAAUACGAAAUCCUUUACCACAAUGGAGAUGGUGACAGGCUAAAGCUGAAGAAUGACAAGAGAACUACUAUGGAAUGGGUGGGUGGUCUGUGAUGUUAGGGAGACGAA
rnacentral:sRNA from 1 species